CUGUGAAAGACUUUUUGCUGUACUUGCUAUUGGGCAAAAUCCUGUCUGCUACCUGGUAUUCAUGUAGAGUAAACUGCAAUGUGGAAACAGAUGGUAUGACCAAGUGGGAGAGAGACUCUGUCUGCAAAACUGGGAGAGCUUCACUCUGACUGGGGGUGGAAGAGGAAUGAACAAGUCCACCCCAGCGUAAAAAUAAGAUGAAAAUAUAAAAGAAUGUCAGUGUUGAAGGUUACUCCUUUUGAUUUUGCCAAUAUCCCGGAACCAUGUGAGCACAUGAACAUUCCAAAGAAGAAGAUACCUCCAGGUUCUUCAGAUGAGUCUCACUCUGUUGCCCAGGCUGGAAUACACUGGCACCGUCUCAGCUCACUGCAACCUCCGACUCCCUGGUUCAAGCGAUUCUCCUGC
rnacentral:lncRNA from 10 species